rnacentral:sRNA from 1 species
GAGUUCACAUGAAUAUGGAUUUAAUAAGAACGAAUUAUUCACUUGCAAGUGAAUAAUUCGACCUCAUUAAAUCCAUAUUCAUGUGAACUC